rnacentral:rRNA from 1 species
AGGAAUAUUGCGCAAUGGGCGAAAGCCUGACGCAGCAACGCCGUGUGCGGGAUGAAGCUUUUCGGAGUGUAAACCGCUGUUAACAGGGACGAAUACUCUUAAUUCGAACAGGGUUAAGGGAUGACGGUACCUGUAGAGGAAGCCCCGGCUAACUCCGUGCCAACAGCCGCGGUAACACGGGGGGGGCAAGCGUUGUCCGGAAUUAUUGGGCGUAAAGGGCGCGUAGGAGGGCUGAUGAGUCAGAGGUGAAAGUUUGCGGCUUAACCGUAAAUGUGCUUUGAUACUGUCAGUCUUGAGUACGGAAGAGGGAAGUGGAAUUCCUGGUGUAGCGGUGAAAUGCGUAGAUAUCAGGAAGAACACCGGUGGCGAAGGCGGCUUCCUGGUCCGUAACUGACGCUGAGGCGCGAAAGCGUGGGUAGCGAACAGGAUUAGAUACCCUGGUAGUCCACGCAGUGAACGAUGGGUACUAGGUGUUGGGCCGUGAUGGUUCAGCGCCGGAGCCAACGCAUUAAGUACCCCGCCUGGGGAAUACGACCGCAAGGUUG